rnacentral:rRNA from 1 species
UACGUAGGGGGCAAGCGUUGUCCGGAUUUAUUGGGCGUAAAGAGCGUGUAGGCGGCCAUGCAGGUCAGCUGUGAAAACUCGAGGCUCAACCUCGAGACGUCGGUUGAAACCGUAUGGCUAGAGUCCGGAAGAGGAGAGUGGAAUUCCCGGUGUAGCGGUGAAAUGCGCAGAUAUCAGGAGGAACACCAAUGGCGAAGGCAGCUCGCUGGGACGGUACUGACGCUGAGACGCGAAAGCGUGGGGAGCAAACAGG